UUAGCUGUUCGGCCUUGUCAAUGUACUUUGGCUAUACGCCCAGAAGAAGAUAAUGUCAAUAAGAUGGUCCAGAGACCUUGUUGUCUCCGCAGAUGUUAGCUUAUUAUGACUAUGAGAUUAUUGUUAUGAGCUGGUGAAUUCCCAGAAUCACACUGUGUAAAACUGUGUAAGAUGACGCGGUCCCAACGUGUCAUCCCCUUAACCCUGUAUGCUGUUAUAAGAAAUGCUUGCACUGUUGAAUAAACAGGAUUGGCUUUAGAUCAUAAUGCUGCGUGGUCUGAGUCAUUCUAAGGGAUCCUUAUCAGAUAAUCUACAUCUGCCUCAGGUGGUACACUGGGCCCGUGGCUUCGGCCUGACCUGACACUUACCCCCCUGGGGAAACACCUAACAAUUUUGGUGUCAGUUUGUGGGAUUCGCCGUGGGUGAGUAUGAGUGCUUUUACCAUGCUUUCCUUCUGUGAAUCUGAACCUAAAUUUAGUCUGGUAAUAGGUGUUGAUAAUAUAUGAUAAAGGGUUAAAGGGGUUCCUGUGGUUGAAGCACAGGUUUGCGGAGGUUAUAGUCCUGCCGGCAGUUGUGAUAACCCUCCAGACAGGUGUAGAGUCCUGUGCUGGGAUACGACAGGUAUUGUGAGUCCUGUCUGUGAUAAGCGUGCAAGAAAUAUAUGAAUGCCAGUUGACGGAGAGCUUUUAAGCUAAGCUCCCCCGGGCAAGGUGGCAGUGAGUGAGUCUCAUGUGUGUUAAAGUUUCCCAUAUUCAUUCCCAUAAUAGAGUUUUGUUACCCACCUGAAGCUCAUGUUGAUAUCUGAUGCUUGCUUUGCUUUGGUUAUUUGUGUUUUGCUGCUAUAUAAAAUGAUGCUGUGCGUAGCAAAUAUUAAGUGGCUAUGCAUGUUAUUAUUGUGGCUAUUAUUGUGUUGAGAAAUGGGAUCUGCUUAUAGAUAAGAAUGCACAGAGAAAAUUACAUGUGUAAGGUCGAAAAAAAAAGAGUUAAUAGUUUCUGCAAACGACAGAAAUAUUUUUUUUAAAACACUGUCAGUGAGUACUGCUGUGUGGUAAAUAGAGAAAUCUCUGUGUAAAAAAAAUGUAGCAGGCAAAGAAGGGGGGCCACCACUGAGCGCGCACAUAGAUCAGAAAAAAAAAAAAAAAACUAAAGAAACUGUUACAGCAGCUCCGUUUGUAAGACUUUUUGUUUGCUUGCAGUAAUGAAAAGGAAAUUUUGUAUAUUGAGAUGCAUAAUGUGUGAUGGUCUGUAGGUUCUCACUGUGGUAUGCGUAUAACAGAUUUACUUUAAACCAAAAACAGAAUGUAUUAUUUGAAAAUGAUUGUCCCAAUCCAGGCAAAAAAUUGCCAUUUUGCGUGGAAUCGGAAUGAAAUGCAUUUUGAACUUGGUGACAAGUUAAUCUGGUGGUUUUUUAUAUGUAUGUGGUACGCUAUGAAAUAGAUGUUUUUCUGAGAAAGAAAACAAAGGAGUGAAUCUCUGGUAUGCGAGAUGGAAUGAGCUUGUGUGUCGGUAUCGCUGUAAAAAUGUUUCUUUCUGUUUCUCUGCUGGGAAAUCAGACAUUGUAAGAAGAUAUUUUGAUGCACUACGUCCCUAGGAUUGUCUAGAACUUUCCUUCAUUGGGAAUCUGGCCACGGACAUCAUCUACCUUGAUGGCCACCCCGGUCGUAGCCUGUAGACCCAGACCCCACUCCUUUUUUUUCCCCUCCCUGGUGGAUUAGAUCUCUUCAUUGUCUUUCUGUGUUGUACUUUGCUCUCAUAUUUCAGAUGCCUAAAAUGUUUUAUUUUUCUAUUUGGUUCUUAACACUAUAUUUGUAUUUGCAGGAUGAGAGUAUGAUGCUGUAUCCAGAGAUUGAAAGACACUAACUUAAUUAUUUUUGAGUUUCCAUAUUUAGGUAAAAUCUGUACAGGCAAAAUUCCAUAAGUGCACUCUUCAAAAGAUUAAAGAUUGAAAGCAAGUAAACCUUUAAAGAAAGAAAAGAUGAAGAUGAAAGACCUUUUGUCAAGCUUGUUUUAACCACCAUACUGCAGUAAAAGUUGCUGAACUAUCUUUGGAUCCAUUCUUUGCUUUGCAUGCUGGUACCAGCCCCAGAACUGGACUCUGGGUAAUCCAUGACUGUUUCCUCUGAUGUGUGUCUUCAGGACAUAAAGACUAUCCUUCUCUGGACUGUGCCUUGCCGCUUGAUAUGGAGGACCUGUUAUGCUGUUACAGGGUCAACCAAUUGAAUUAGGGGAGUAUUGUUUUAACUCCACUCCUUAUAUUGCUUGUUUUGUAUUCUCUUGUAUUUGUUUUAUUUUUAUUGAUCAUAUUUGGUAUAAGAAAUCAUAUGCUUUACUGGUAUUAGUGCACAUUGUAGUUUAUGUGCUUAACAAAGUAACCCUUUAGAUAAAUGUAACGGUGAACUUCGCAGUAUUGUACCCUAUUGAAUGACCCACUGAGUAUAAAAAUAUGUUUAGGGAAAAUGCUGCAAUAUAUCAUAAUAUUUUAGACCCUUCACCCUCUAUAACAUAAGGAGGACACGUCUCAGCUAGAAGUUUAUAUUAAAUAUACGGAGAAAUGUUUGUUUGGGGAAUAGCAUAAUUAUAGUUUAUGAAAGCAAAUGUAUUUUUCCCUUUUAUUAAUUGGUAUGGUAUCUGCAACGUGAAUUUGGUCAUUCCUGAUGUUUGUCAAAUAGAGUAAUUCUUACCAUAAAGAUGUGUUUACCUUUAAAAGAGUUUGUAGUUUUAUAUGAUGUUCUGUUUGUAUGCGUUCCUCAUACGGGAGUGUGAGAGAAUUUAGGUUGCAUAAAAUAAUUAGUAAACUAGUAGUGUUUAUAUCAGAUGAGAUUGUUGAAUAUUAAGAUCAUGGUUGGAGAAUUAUACACAUUAUAGAUAGCAGCCAUGCAGAAUAAAGCAACACGAGGUUCUUUUAAUUUUUAAAAGUUCAAAGUGACACUGUAAAGCAAUUCAUUUAUUUUUAUUGACUGUUUUCCUUUUUUCCAUUUUUGCUACAGGGCAGGCCUUAGCAUAAGUUUUAGCAUAACCAUUCAGGCCCUUGAUGAAGUCUGGCAGGUUUUCACUUGAUUAGUAUUCAUGAAGUAUCAUUUAAAAGUGUAUAGAGAAGUUGUAAAUUAUUCUCUGAGAAAUAUCAAUGUAUUUAGUUUGUAUUAUAUAUCAACAAUGUUUUGUUUGAUUUUAAAUGACAUAAGAUGAAAGUGACGUUUUAUUUGGACAUAAUUGUGAUUGUAUUGCGGUGUGUACUCAUCCUGUACUGUUUCUGUUUGCUUCCUAGACUCCCUGUGACUCAAGUGUUUGCUUGCCAGGGGUAUCCACUGGUUGCCUUGUCUACCCCAUGAACAAACCAUCAGAUUUCCAGCAUCUCCCUGCGGAAGAACCGUGGAUAAGCACCCCUACUGCAAAUGAACUGUUGGAGAAUUGUAUUAUAGCAAAGUGUCAAGGUGUAGCGCUCUCAAAUGGACAAAGACUGUUCUUAAAGUGAUCAGAGGCCACCUAGAGACAGUUGUGCUGUUGCUAUGUCAUGCUUUACUGUGGAGAAGGAACUGUUGGACAUAUUGGGGGGUGCUAGCAAUGCAGGUGGAGAAAUAAACGAUGCAGCGUUGUUUGGGGGUAGAUGGGGGGCUGGUUGGGUCUCUGUGCCGGUAGACCGGUAGUUUUGGGAGGGCUGGAAGAUAGAUGGAAGGUAUUGGAGGGGCUGUACCUAUAUGCAGUGACAAUUAGCCUAUAAAAGUAUAUCACGACAUAGGAAUAUUUUUCUCUUUAGUAUUCUCACAUAGAGUUCUGUUACCAUAAUAUAAGUCUCCGCAGAUGUUAGCUUAUUAUGACUAUGAGAUUAUUGUUAUGAGCUGGUGAAUUCCCAGAAUCACACUGUGUAAAACUGUGUAAGAUGACGCGGUCCCAACAUGUCAUCCCCUUAACCCUGUAUGCUGUUAUAAGAAAUGCUUGCACUGUUCAAUAAACAAGAUUGGCUUUAGAUCAUAA